UUGAAACCUGCAUAGCAAAAAGACUCGCGAACUUGUGAACUACUAUAUUGGGAGAGGGAUACGGGUCUCUUGGACUCCUUCCCUCGAUUUCGGACCGAGAAGUGCCCUUGUCGGCAUUCUUUGGCUCUGAUAAAAUAACAAACUCGGCGCGAUCAGCGCCAAGGAAAAUUAAAUGGAAAUAGCUUGCCCUUGCUUUUGCAAGAUGGUAUUGCUUAUCUGAUAUUUGAACGACUCUCGGCAAUGGAUAUCUCGGCUCUCGCAUCGAUGAAGAACGUAGCGAAAUGCGAUACUUGGUGUGAAUUGCAGAAUCCCGUGAACCAUCGAGUUUUUGAACGCAAGUUGCGCCCAAAGCCACUAGGCUGAGGGCAUGUCUGCCUGGGCGUCACGCAUAGCGUCGCGCUCAACACAAGCAAUGCUUUCGUGUUGAUGAGCGGAAGUUGGCCCCCCGAGCUAUCUCAGCUCGGUUGGCCUAAAUGAUGGCCUCGAGCGAUGGGCAUCACGAUCUAUGGUGGUUUAGAACCCCUUUCGUCGUAGACCGGCAUCGUGUUUGCCUCGUUGAUCGCUCGAGCUGUACAAACCCUUGUGUGUUGCAUCUAACAGUCACUUU
rnacentral:rRNA from 1 species